AUCUGAACCUUCGGGGGACGAUAACGGCGUCGAGCGGCGGACGGGUGAGUAAUGCCUGGGAAAUUGCCCUGAUGUGGGGGAUAACCAUUGGAAACGAUGGCUAAUACCGCAUGAUAGCUUCGGCUCAAAGAGGGGGACCUUCGGGCCUCUCGCGUCAGGAUAUGCCUAGGUGGGAUUAGCUAGUUGGUGAGGUAAUGGCUCACCAAGGCGACGAUCCCUAGCUGGUCUGAGAGGAUGAUCAGCCACACUGGAACUGAGACACGGUCCAGACUCCUACGGGAGGCAGCAGUGGGGAAUAUUGCACAAUGGGCGCAAGCCUGAUGUAGCCAUGCCGCGUGUGUGAAGAAGGCCUUCGGGUUGUAAAGCACUUUCAGUCGUGAGGAAGGUAGUGUAGUUAAUAGCUGCAUUAUUUGACGUUAGCGACAGAAGAAGCACCGGCUAACUCCGUGCCAGCAGCCGCGGUAAUACGGAGGGUGCGAGCGUUAAUCGGAAUUACUGGGCGUAAAGCGCAUGCAGGUGGUUUGUUAAGUCAGAUGUGAAAGCCCGGGGCUCAACCUCGGAAUAGCAUUUGAAACUGGCAGACUAGAGUACUGUAGAGGGGGGUAGAAUUUC
rnacentral:rRNA from 1 species